rnacentral:tRNA from 1 species
GGGCGAUUAGCUCAGUUGGCUAGAGCGCCGCCCUUACAAGGCGGAAGUCACAGGUUCGAGCCCUGUAUCGCCCA